UACGGGGGGGGCAAGCGUUGUUCGGAAUUACUGGGCGUAAAGGGCUCGUAGGCGGCCAACUAAGUCAGACGUGAAAUCCCCAGGCUCAACCUGGGAAUUGCAUUCGAGACUGAAUAGCUAGGGUACGGUAGAGGGAAGCGGAAUUUCCGGUGUAGCGGUGAAAUGCGUAGAUAUCGGAAGGAACAUCAGUGGCGAAGGCGGCAUCCUGGACCGGUAUUGACGCUGAGGCGCGAAAGCCAGGGGAGCAAACGGG
rnacentral:rRNA from 1 species